rnacentral:rRNA from 1 species
UGAGGAAUAUUGGUCAAUGGUCGAAAGACUGAACCAGCCAAAUCGCGUGAAGGAUGAAAGUAUUAUGUAUCGUAAACUUCUUUUGCAGGGGAAUAAAAGACAGCACGUGUGCUGUUUUGCAUGUACCUUGCGAAUAAGCAUCGGCUAACUCCGUGCCAGCAGCCGCGGUAAUACGGAGGAUGCAAGCGUUAUCCGGAUUUAUUGGGUUUAAAGGGUGCGUAGGUGGUUGUUUAAGUCAGCGGUGAAAUCUUGACGCUUAACGUCAAUAUUGCCGUUGAUACUGGACAACUUGAGUCCAGACGAGGCAGGCGGAAUUCGUAGUGUAGCGGUGAAAUGCUUAGAUAUUACGAAGAACUCCAAUAGCGCAGGCAGCUUGCCAGACUGAUACUGACACUGAAGCACGAAAGUGUGGGAAUCAAACAGGAUUAGAUACCCUGGUAGUCCACACUGUAAACGAUGAUUACUCGCUGUUUGCAAUAUACCGCAAGCGGCCUAGCGAAAGCAUUAAGUAAUCC